rnacentral:misc_RNA from 1 species
GAACUUUCUCUCCUCUGCCCUAUCAUCCCUGUUGGUGCCGUGCCAGGACCGUAUGACUCCAAGAGCUGUUUGCCGUUGUGCGUGUGCGCGUGGGUGAGCGAGAGACGACGACGACAACUGAACCUCAUUUGCAAUACACAGUUGGUGAGAGCCUUUCUUUCGAUGAUGAUGCACGAGUUAAUCCAUUCUCUGAGUCUCUGUGUGCGUGUGUAUGUGCGCAGGUGCACUGCCGAACUGCGGCGUGACGGGUGCUAGACAUGCGGGGGCUGCUGUGUCGAGGAGCAUGAGCAGUGUGCAGCCGCAAGCAAAGGAGCACGGGGGGACUCCAAACACCGUCUAUUCCCCUGCGUGAUGGAACUGUGACGAGACGGCAUGUGAUGCAACGCCUCCAACGCUGGACCGCACUGCUUGCUGUUUGCACGGGAAGGGGCGGGUGCUGCGGCAUCGUGUGUGUUGGCGUCUGGCACCUGGCGGUGGCUGGAUCGCCAUGUCACCGCACGGGAGAGCUGCCUAUCGGCAUCGCUCAUCCUUGCAGCGCACACGCCUUUGCCCUCACCCUGCUGCCGAGAUGUGGGGCACUGUGAAGACGGUGGAGAACAAAGCACAGCCAUCGGACACAGGGAGGCUGCGCUCGGUGCCUUCCUGUGAUGAAGUCAGGCCGGCGAGAAUGUCGAGAGCCCAGCGCAACGCGCGUCCAUCCCUCCUUGCCGCUCUCCGCGUGUGCCGCAGCUGUGGCGGCGACAGAGGGAAGGGAGGCAGGCGCGGUGGUGGGGUCUGCAGCUCGUCGUCUUUUCGCGGCGUGUGUGUGUGUGUGUGCGACACUUAGCCGCAAACAAAGGAACACGGGGGGACUCCAAACACCGUCUAUUCCCCUGCGUGAUGGAACUGUGGCGAGACGGUGCGUGCGGCAGAAAUACGGAGCUGCUGAAGGAGAUGGCUAUAUAUUGACAAGGAAUUUUUUAUGCUGUUGUUGAUGGCGCGCAAUCAUACUUGGUGUUUUGCUCUCAGGCUAGUGUUUUUUCGGAUGGCGUGAAACCUCGUGCGCCCGAUAGACGGACGUUACACGCGGUGCUUCUGUGUGAUUCACGAUGAUUGCGGUGUACGCUGCUGGAUGCGCA